rnacentral:rRNA from 1 species
CCUACGGGAGGCAGCAGUGGGGAAUCUUCCGUAAUGGACGAAAGUCUGACGGAGCAACGCCGCGUGAGCGAAGAAGGUCUUCGGAUUGUAAAGCUCUGUUGUUAGGGAAGAACAAGUACCGUUCGAAGAGGGCGGUACCGUGACGGUACCUAACGAGAAAGCCACGGCUAACUACGUGCCAGCAGCCGCGGUAAUACGUAGGUGGCAAGCGUUGUCCGGAAUUAUUGGGCGUAAAGCGCGCGCAGGCGGUUCCUUAAGUCUGAUGUGAAAGCCCACGGCUCAACCGUGGAGGGUCAUUGGAAACUGGGGGACUUGAGUGCAGAAGAGGAGAGCGGAAUUCCACGUGUAGCGGUGAAAUGCGUAGAGAUGUUGGAGGAACACCAGUGGCGAAGGCGGCUCUCUGGUCUGUAACUGACGCUGAGGCGCGAAACGUUGGGGAGCAAACAGGAUUAGAUACCCUGGUAGUCCACGCCCUAAACGAUGGAUACUGGAUGUUUGGCGCCCUUAGGUUGCUGAGUGUCGUAACCUAACGCGAUAAGUUUUCCCGCCUGGGAAAGUACGGCCGCAAGGUUUAAAACUCAAAAGGAAAUUUGACGG